rnacentral:rRNA from 1 species
CAGCCGCCGCGGUAAAACCAGCACCUCGAGUGGUCAGGAGGUUUAUUGGGCCUAAAGCAUCCGUAGCCGGUUGCAUAAGUUUUCGGUUAAAUCUAUGCGCUUAACGUAUAGGCCGCCGAAAAUACUGUGCAGCUAGGGAGUGGGAGAGGUACACGGUACUCGAUAGGAAGGGGUAAAAUCCUUUGAUCUAUUGAUGACCACCUGUGGCGAAGGCGGUGUACCAGAACACGUUCGACGGUGAGGGAUGAAAGCUGGGGGAGCAAAUCGGAUUAGAUACCCCUGUAGUCCCUGUCUCUUAUAC